GAUGAACGCUGGCGGCGUGCUUAACACAUGCAAGUCGAACGGAAAGGCCACAGCUUGCUGUGGUACUCGAGUGGCGAACGGGUGAGUAACACGUGGGUGAUCUGCCCUGUACUUCGGGAUAAGCUUGGGAAACUGGGUCUAAUACCGGAUAGGAAUCACAUGUGGGUGUGUGGUUGGAAAGCUUUUGCGGUAUGGGAUGAGCUCGCGGCCUAUCAGCUUGUUGGCGGGGUAAUGGCCUACCAAGGCGUCGACGGGUAGCCGGCCUGAGAGGGUGUACGGCCACAUUGGGACUGAGAUACGGCCCAGACUCCUACGGGAGGCAGCAGUGGGGAAUAUUGCACAAUGGGCGCAAGCCUGAUGCAGCGACGCCGCGUGGGGGAUGACGGCCUUCGGGUUGUAAACUCCUUUCGUCAGGGACGAAGCGAAAGUGACGGUACCUGGAUAAGAAGCACCGGCUAACUACGUG
rnacentral:rRNA from 1 species